UACGGGGGGGCAAGCGUUGUUCGGAAUUACUGGGCGUAAAGGGCUCGUAGGUGGCCAAUUAAGUCAGACGUGAAAUCCCCAGGCUUAACCUGGGAACUGCGUCUGAUACUGGUUGGCUUGAAUUCGGGAGAGGGAUGCAGAAUUCCAGGUGUAGCGGUGAAAUGCGUAGAUAUCUGGAGGAAUACCGGUGGCGAAGGCGGCAUCCUGGACCGAGAUUGACACUGAGGAGCGAAAGCCAGGGGAGCAAACGGG
rnacentral:rRNA from 1 species